GUAUGUUCCAUUAAUAGCAGAAGCUCUUUCUUUAUCAUCAUUGAUUCAUUAUCAACAGAAAAAAGCAAUGGCAAUUCUGAACCACUGUCUCUCAGUGACCUCCACAGCAACACCCAUCUCCCCAGACUCAGCAACUCCACCUGUACCAGACCCAAGACAGACCAAGAUCUUAUUGCCCAAGAAGAAGCCCAUGAAAUGGUCCACUGGGGUAGCUCCAGGGGAGUAUGGUGGCCCACCAACCACAACCAAGCUCCGAAAGUACUGGGGAGGCGAAGAUGACCCGCUUACCUCUGAUGAUUUCAUUUGGAACAGAGAAUUCAUGGACCGCAUGAAAAAACUCAUUCAGGACCCUGACUCUUCCACUCAAGCCACUACUGUUCAGGAAAAGCCUUCUGGGUUUCUUAGCUUGAAUAGAGUAAUGACUCUUGACAGUUUAGAAGUUGAUUUCAGCAAAGAACUCACUGCUUCUCCUGCCCAGCCCAAGAUAGAACCUGUUGAGGCUCCAGCACAAAGUGCCAGCAGCACUAGAAUCAAAUGGAAAUUGGCACCAACACGGCGUGAGCAAGAUAAGUGGGAUAGAGCAACUAAGGCUGCAACUGGAGGCAGUGAAGUGAUGUUUCGGGAAUUAAGGCGCUCUCGGGAGGACCCAAAAGUAUUGGCUGAACAGUAUAGGAAACAGUAUUUUAAGUUAAAGAAGAGGUUGCAAUUCCUUACACUAGGUUUAGGCGGUGUUGGCUUAGUCUCAGCUUAUGUUUCAUAUUCCCCUGAAAUUGCAGCUAGCUAUGGUGUUGGGUUGCUUGGUUCUGUGGCUUACAUGCGUAUGCUGGGGAGUAGCGUGGAUUCCAUGGCAGAUGGAGCAAGGGGACUUCUCAAGGGAGCGAUUGGGCAACCGAGGCUAUUGGUUCCUGUUGUACUAGUCAUGAUCUUUAACAGGUGGAAUGGGCUCGUCGUUCCACAAUAUGGAUUUAUGCAACUGGAAUUGAUACCAAUGUUAGUGGGAUUCUUCACAUACAAGAUUGCUACUUUUAUCCAAGCUAUAGAGGAAGCACUUCCUGUAGCUGAGAAAACAGACACAAGUUCAAGCUAAACCUUCCCAUCUUCAUAGAUCAGCAGAAUAUCCCAUUGAUAGUUCCGAUGCAGCUUUCAGAGAUAAGCUGCUCGGAAGUGAAGACGUGUAGUGAAUUGAACAGAACUGUAUACUAGUUAUUGAUGUUAGUUGUCCUUUGUUCUGUAUGAAUGUUGUAAAACAAGGGAAUUGAAUAUAUUUGUCUAUAAUUUGCCUCAUACCAUUUGUAAUAUUUUCAGAUAACUACAUUUUUUUUUUUUUAAAUUUAUUGGAGGGGCAAGCAUUGACCUCUUGUCAGCAAGCAAUACAUGUUCCAGUCAGAGCUAAAAUCCUCAAGAUUUGAUUA